UACAGAGGGGGCAAGCGUUGUUCGGAAUUACUGGGCGUCAAGGGCGCGUAGGCGGCCUUCUAAGUCGAACGUGAAAUCCCCGGGCUCAACCCGGGAACUGCGUCCGAGACUGGAAGGCUUGAAUCCGGGAGAGGGAUGUGGAAUUCCAGGUGUAGCGGUGAAAUGCGUAGAUAUCUGGAGGAACAUCGGUGGCGAAGGCGGCAUCCUGGACCGGUAUUGACGCUGAGGCGCGAAAGCCAGGGGAGCAAACGGG
rnacentral:rRNA from 1 species